ensembl:snRNA U6 U6 spliceosomal RNA
GUACUCACUUCUGCAGCACAUCUACUAAAACUGGAACAAAUACAGAAAAGGUUAGCAUGACCCCUGUGCAAGCAUAACAUGCAAAUCUAUGAAACAUUAAGAAAAAAU